CCUACGGGAGGCAGCAGUCGAGAAUCAUUCACAAUGGGGGAAACCCUGAUGGUGCGACGCCGCGUGGGGGAAUGAAGGUCUUCGGAUUGUAAACCCCUGUCAUGUGGGAGCAAAUUAAAAAGAUAGUACCACAAGAGGAAGAGACGGCUAACUCGGUGCAAGCAGCCGCGGUAAUACAGAGGUCUCAAGCGUUGUUCGGAAUCACUGGGCGUAAAGCGUGCGUAGGCUGUUUCGUAAGUCGUGUGUGAAAGGCGCGGGCUCAACCCGCGGACGGCACAUGAUACUGCGAGACUAGAGUAAGGGAGGUGGAGCCGGAAUUCUCGGUGUAGCAGUGAAAUGCGUAGAUAUCGAGAGGAACACUCGUGGCGAAGGCGGGUUCCUGGACAUUAACUGACGCUGAGGCACGAAGGCCAGGGGAGCGAAAGGGAUUAGAUACCCUUGUAGUC
rnacentral:rRNA from 1 species